GUCACUCCAAGUGGUUGAUUGUUGCGGAACCGCGCAGACUGUGCCAGAGCCCUGGCCUAAUCUGUGACCCCUGGUAGAUUCCCACGCUGUCCGCGGAUAGCCGGAAGGAGUCAAAACCAAGCGGGGCGCGGCGACCAUGGGUGCCUGGACUUCCAGAACCCGGAUCCCUAUGCCGGAGCCCGAUCCCCAGGAGGCCCUGGACCUGAGUCGACUGCCCCCGGAGCUGCUCCUGCUGGUACUGAGCCACGUGCCCCCGCGCACGCUGCUGGUACACUGCCGCCGGGUCUGCCGCGCCUGGCGCGCGUUGGUGGAUGGCCAGGCCCUUUGGCUGCUGCUGCUGGCCCGAGACCACAGCGCAGCGGGCCGCGCCCUGUUGACGUUAGCCCGCCGCUGCCUGCCCCCAGCCCGCGAAGGCACGCCCUGCCCGCUGGGCCAAUUCUGCGCAUUAAGACCGCUAGGACGCAACCUCCUCUGCAACCCCUGUGGCCAAGGUGAGGCUCUACCUCCAGGUCACCCACGUGUUCUCCAACAUCAGGAGGGGCGUCCGUUUUGUGUCUUUUGAACACUGGGGCCAGGACACACAGUUCUGGGCUGGCCACUAUGGGGCCAGAAUGACGAACUCCAGCGUGAUUGUACGAGUCUGUCCAUCCUAGUCAAAAGGCCACCAUUUUGACAAGACAAUCUGACUGUGCCUUCCUGGAGCUGUCAUCUGGAAACCCUCAUGAGUCAAGCACUGUCCCUCCCUGGUUCAUGAAACUUUAGGAUCCACUGAAGGGUCCUGCUUGGCCUUUUUUCAGAGUCUGGAACACGGAAGUCCUCCAUCAGGUCUGCCUGUUGCUGCUGCUUUAGAGCAUGGGUGCCUGGGUGCCCGGAUGCACAGGUGCCUAGAUGCACGGGUGCCCUGAUGCAUGGGUUCCCUGAUGCAUGGGUGCAUGCUGGUCUUAGAUCACAAGCUGUCCCCGAUAUUGAUCCCUGACCCUUUUUUGAGACAGAUGCCUUUGGCGCUUUGUGCUGGGACUACAGGCACACACUGACACCACUCAGCUUUGUGCAGUGCUGGGGAUGAGCCCAGGGUUUCGUGCAUGCCAGGCAAGCAUUUUGCUCUCCGAGCAACAUGCCAGCAUCCCCUCUGGUCACAUGCUGUUUCUGCCUCAGGGACUUUCUCUGUCCCUUCACUGAAGCCCUCUACUUAUGGCUGAACUCAGAAUUUAUGGUUAGCAAAACUCCAGCUCCCUUGGGUAAGGAACCAAAGCUUUCUUGACUACAACCAGGCUUCCGUAUUGAAGGGUGUCUUAGGGUAUCUACCCACAGAUUUUCUCCAAACAAUUAGGAAGUGCCUAGAGCCCAGGCCCUGAUCAUCACAGAUGUCUAUAAUUGUGUUAUAUUUAAAGUUACCUUUCAUUUUCUCAAACAAUGAGAGAAUAACACACUGGCAAUAUCUACCUGCCAAUUGCACUGUAAUAAAUUGAUUAUUUUGCCU
rnacentral:lncRNA from 1 species